GUGCUCACUUCAGCAGCACAAAAACUAAAGUGGGAACAAUGCAGCGAUUAGCACAGUCCCUGCGCAAGGACGACACGCAACUUCGUGAAGAUUCCAUGUUUUU